GCAAAAUCGCCUUUAUUUUUUUAUGAUUUUUAUUUUUUCCGUUAUAGUUGAUUUUGUCAAUUUCUACUAUACAGCAAAGUGACCCAGUCACACACACACACACAUAUAUAUAUAUAUGUAUAUAUUCUUUUUCUCACAUUAUCCUCCAUCAUGUUCCAUCACAAGUGACUGGAUAUGGCCUUUCUGACUGUUGUAACUGCUCAACUCUGCACUGCAGUACAAAAGCCGCCAUGAACAAUAUGUAAGUGGAUGGGCAUGGCUGUGUUCCAAGUGAAAUAUUAUAAACUGAAAUUUGAAUUUUAGAUAAUUUUCACAUGUCACAAGAUGUUUCUUUUUCUUUUUUUUCCCCCAACCAUUUAAAAUUGUAAGUACUAUUCUUAGCCUGUGGCAGUACAGAAACAAGCUGUGGGUUGGAUUUGGCCUGGGGCCGGGUGUCCUAGUUUGCCAAGUCCUGCUCUGGAGGAUGAGAGGCCAUCUUGAAUGUUCCGUCCAUAGCCACACUCCCAUCUGAAUGCAGCCUCAGAGACACUCCAAGCCGGUCCACCAGAAGCCCUCAGCGAAGCUCAGCCAACCCUUAACAUGACAAAGAAACAGGGAAUUACAAAUCAACAAACACUUGAAAGAUCCCACAUUGAGAACUUUUAAACCCAGACUGGAAACCCAGACGCCAUAAAAGAAGUGUCAGAUAUGUUGAAAUAUUCAAAAGUUGAAAGCUUGUAUGGCCAAAGAUGACAUAAAAAGGUAGAGACCAUUUUUAGAAGUGGAAAAAAUGAACAAAAAUGACAUAAGGCUAUUUUUUAUAAGCGUCACCAGACUUUUGCAUGGUGAGUAGAAAAAAAGGAGCCUAGUGGAAAAACAGACAAAAGAUAUGACUAGGCAAUUCUAAAGAGCCAGCAAGUAUACGAAAAAGUGCUCAAACUUACCAGUAAUCAGGGAAAUGCUAAUAAAUGUAAAAAUCAGCAAUACAUAGCUGUAAGAAAGGCAACUCUUAAAAAAAGAACAGUUAACGCCUACUGCUGGCAAAGACGCAAGGAAAAGAAAUUUUCCCUGAUGGACACUGGAAGUGGUAAAGGCUUUUGUGAGGAGAGUACUAUAACAAUACCUAUGUAAUGGAAACAUGCAUGUAUAUAUAUCCUUCUGUCCAGCCAUCCCACUUAGGAGAGUCCACCUCAAGCCUGUAGAACCACCAGUCAACACUGCUACAUAAGGGCGUCCACAAGGAUGUUUACUGCAGCACACGUCAUGACGGCAGAAAACCAGACAUCCACAGUGGAGUGAUUGAAUGUGACUGUAGGUUCACAGAGAUGCUCUUGCAGCCACUGAAAGAGUGAAUUCAGGCUACAUAAGUGACUCAGGGGCCUUCUACACAGUACUGCUGUGUAUAAAAGCAGGGUACUGACAUGUAUAUAAUAUACCCACAUCUUUACCCAACGACAGUUGUAAAAUGUGAAUCCAUAGAAAAUUAUACAAACAAAAAGAAGAAUUCCUGCUGGGUUGUUGACAUAAGUUACAUGGAAGACAAGGAGGGGAAUCCACCAAAGGAGCAAAAGGGGAACAGACUCCCCCCCCCCAUUUAUACAAUGUGAUUACGUUGCUGUAUUUCUAUACAAUUAUAUAUGUGUGCAUACAAAAAGUUUUUUUAAAAAAAUUUAGCCUUUGUUGACUGGCCUACUGGGUUCAAAAAUGGGAACUUAAAAGUACUACUUUAGCAACAACAUUCUACUAUGGAAAGAACAUUAUUUUUGGAGACAGAUGAGAUUCAAAUCUUGGCUCUGCCUCUAAUAGUAAGACCUGUUAUUUAUGUCACCUCUCUGUUUCUUUCCUCAUCCCCAAAACAGGGACAGUAAUAUUUGUCAUGCCUUGUUUUAAAGGAAUUAGCACAUAGGAAAGUACUUUUUAAGUGACAUAAUUAGGGUUGGUUUAAAUGAAAUUUGUCAUUUCACAAACUCAAGGCCUAAUACACAAAGCCUUUAUUCUCAUGGUCCAGUGCUCAUGCUCCCACUGUCCAACGUAAGGUGCAUGUUCAAACAGUACUGGCUUGAUCACAAUCAGGCACGUGGAUCACACUGCCUCCUGGAUUUAAGGCCAAUAGCUGUGUGAUCCUGAGCAAGCAGCUUAACCUCUGCAAGCCUACUUCUGUAUCUAUAAAAUAAUAAUUGUUAUAAUUAUAGAAUUGUUGUGAAGAGCAAAUGUGUAUGCACAAUUGUUUUGAAAAUUACAAAGUGCUAGAAAAUCA